AUUGAACGCUGGCGGCAUGCCUUACACAUGCAAGUCGAACGGCAGCACGGGGGCAACCCUGGUGGCGAGUGGCGAACGGGUGAGUAAUGCAUCGGAACGUGCCCAGUAGUGGGGGAUAACCAGCCGAAAGACUGGCUAAUACCGCAUACGACCUACGGGUGAAAGCGGGGGACCGUAAGGCCUCGCGCUAUUGGAGCGGCCGAUGGCCGAUUAGCUAGUUGGCGGGGUAAGAGCCCACCAAGGCGACGAUCAGUAGCUGGUCUGAGAGGACGACCAGCCACACUGGGACUGAGACACGGCCCAGACUCCUACGGGAGGCAGCAGUGGGGAAUUUUGGACAGUGGGCGCAAGCCUGAUCCAGCCAUGCCGCGUGCGGGAAGAAGGCCUUCGGGUUGUAAACCGCUUUUGGCAGGAACGAAACGGCGCAAGCCAAUACCUUGCGCUAAUGACGGUACCUGCAGAAUAAGCACCGGCUAACUACGUGCCAGCCGCCGCGGUAAUAC
rnacentral:rRNA from 1 species